UUCAUUUACUUUUCUCCUAGUAACUCCCAACUUACACACACUUCACACACAAACUUUUAUCCUCUCAAGAAACUCUUUCUUCCUCCUCUUUCUCUCAAAUUUUCGGCCAACAAUAAAUCAAGGAGAAACACCACCAAAAAUCAAUCCAAACAUAUUAAUAAUAAGGGUUUUAGGCUAGAUUAUUAAAGGGUUAAUCCAAGCUAAGGUUUAAGGGUGUUUUUCAAGCAAAGAAAUGGUGAUAUUAGGGCUAGAAGGUCACGAAAAUUCUGCACCAUUUCACCAUCAAAAAGUAUUCUUCAAGGGUUUAGAGCAGUAAAUAGCUUUAAGGACCGCCUCAUGGACGAUGUACUUGUUUGUUGUUCGAUGGACUUGUAAUGCAAACAAUUUGUCUUUUAUUUAUGGAUUAUGGUUAUGUAAUGGAUUUAAAAUGUCAACUUGAACUUAUUAUCUUUUGAAUUCGAAUGGCAUUUGAAACUCAAUGUUAAUGUUUUAUCUUUAAAUC